UAGGGAAUCUUCCACAAUGGACGAAAGUCUGAUGGAGCAACGCCGCGUGAGUGAUGAAGGGUUUCGGCUCGUAAAACUCUGUUGUUGGAGAAGAACGGGUGUCAGAGUAACUGUUGACAUCGUGACGGUAUCCAACCAGAAAGCCACGGCUAACUACGUGCCAGCAGCCGCGGUAAUACGUAGGUGGCAAGCGUUGUCCGGAUUUAUUGGGCGUAAAGCGAGCGCAGGCGGUUUUUUAGGUCUGAUGUGAAAGCCUUCGGCUUAACCGGAGAAGUGCAUCGGAAACCGGGAGACUUGAGUGCAGAAGAGGACAGUGGAACUCCAUGUGUAGCGGUGAAAUGCGUAGAUAUAUGGAAGAACACCAGUGGCGAAGGCGGCUGUCUGGUCUGCAACUGACGCUGAGGCUCGAAAGCAUGGGUAGCGAACAGGAUUAGAUACCCUGGUAGUCCAUGCCGU
rnacentral:rRNA from 1 species